UACGAAGGGGGCUAGCGUUGCUCGGAAUUACUGGGCGUAAAGAGCGCGCAGGCGGUCGUUCAAGUCGAGUGUGAAAGCCCCCGGCUCAACUGGGGAGGGUCAUUCGAUACUGAUCGACUGGAAGGCAGGAGAGGGAAGCGGAAUUCCCGGUGUAGUGGUGAAAUGCGUAGAUAUCGGGAGGAACACCAGUGGCGAAGGCGGCUUCCUGGCCUGUUCUUGACGCUGAGGCGCGAAAGCUAGGGGAGCAAACAGG
rnacentral:rRNA from 1 species